AGAGUUUGAUCCUGGCUCAGGAUGAACGCUAGCUACAGGCUUAACACAUGCAAGUCGAGGGGCAGCAUGGUCUUAGCUUGCUAAGGCCGAUGGCGACCGGCGCACGGGUGAGUAACACGUAUCCAACCUGCCGUCUACUCUUGGACAGCCUUCUGAAAGGAAGAUUAAUACAAGAUGGCAUCAUGAGUCCACAUGUUCACAUGAUUAAAGGUAUUCCGGUAGACGAUGGGGAUGCGUUCCAUUAGAUAGUAGGCGGGGUAACGGCCCACCUAGUCUUCGAUGGAUAGGGGUUCUGAGAGGAAGGUCCCCCACAUUGGAACUGAGACACGGUCCAAACUCCUACGGGAGGCAGCAGUGAGGAAUAUUGGUCAAUGGACGAGAGUCUGAACCAGCCAAGUAGCGUGAAGGAUGACUGCCCUAUGGGUUGUAAACUUCUUUUAUAAAGGAAUAAAGUCGGGUAUGGAUACCCGUUUGCAUGUACUUUAUGAAUAAGGAUCGGCUAACUCCGUGCCAGCAGCCGCGGUAAUACGGAGGAUCCGAGCGUUAUCCGGAUUUAUUGGGUUUAAAGGGAGCGUAGAUGGAUGUUUAAGUCAGUUGUGAAAGUUUGCGGCUCAACCGUAAAAUUGCAGUUGAUACUGGAUAUCUUGAGUGCAGUUGAGGCAGGCGGAAUUCGUGGUGUAGCGGUGAAAUGCUUAGAUAUCACGAAGAACUCCGAUUGCGAAGGCAGCCUGCUAAGCUGCAACUGACAUUGAGGCUCGAAAGUGUGGGUAUCAAACAGGAUUAGAUACCCUGGUAGUCCACACGGUAAACGAUGAAUACUCGCUGUAGGCGAUAUACAGUCUGCGGCCAAGCGAAAGCAUUAAGUAUUCCACCUGGGGAGUACGCCGGCAACGGUGAAACUCAAAGGAAUUGACGGGGGCCCGCACAAGCGGAGGAACAUGUGGUUUAA
rnacentral:rRNA from 1 species